rnacentral:lncRNA from 1 species
AUGAUAUGUGACUUUGGGGUUUAGGGAUUUCAUUCUCGGUGUUCAGGGUUAAGCGUUGUAAAAUCGUUGUAAAAAUAACAUGGGCAUGGUAACUUCGUCGUAAAUGGUUAAAUCGAUUCCACGUAAUUUCGUCGUAAAUGGAAAAAGACGGGCCUGAUAACUUCGUCGAAAACGGAAAAGCCUGGUAAAUCGAUUCGACGUAAUUUCAUCGUAAAUGGAAAAAGACGGGCCUGGUAACUUCGUCGUAAAUAAAAAAAGACGGGCCUGGUAACUUCGUCGUAAAUGAAAAAACGCGGGCCUGGUAACUUCGUCGUAAUAUUACGUCGCGUUUACGAUGAAACGUUUUCUAUAUAUUGAGACGCCGAGAGCGAGCCUGCAUCGUUCAUUCCUCCCAAAUUCUUUUGCUCUCCCUCUAUGGUACACUCUCUUUCCUCUUCUAUUUUUUUAAAGUUAGUUUAGGUGAUUAAUUAGUUUGGUAAUUAGUUUAGGUGAUUAAUUAGGUAAUUAGUUUAGGUGAUUAGUUAGGUGACGGAAUACUAUAGUUUAGGUGAUUAGUUAGGUAACGGAAUAAUUUUUUAAUUAUGUCGUAAUUGAUUAAAUUUAUUUUAAUUUUUUUUAGAUGGCUCCUAGGAGGAAACCAGCAGCACCUACUUAUGCCC